CUCAGCAGCUCUGACCAAAGAAAGAGAAGAGUAAAUACCAAACCCAAGGGCAGUCGCACACUCCCAAGGGACAUGUGGCUUCACUCCUGAACAAGUUCGGUAAACUAGGGACAUGUGGCUUCACUCCUGAACAAGUUCAGUAAACCGUGCUGGAGAGAAUACUAACAAUUUUAAACGAGUAUGUAGACAGGUCACAUCCUAAAACAUGAAGCAUCAUUAUAGGAAUGAUACCAAGGCAUUAGUAUGGCUGUACAAAUGACAUUCAUCCAAUUGUUUUCUUAAUUGCAAAUGAUUAAUCAAA